rnacentral:rRNA from 1 species
CCGGAAAGAAAUCCUUGGCUCUAAUACAGUCGGGGGAUGACGGUACCGGAAGAAUAAGCACCGGCUAACUACGUGCCAGCAGCCGCGGUAAUACGUAGGGUGCAAGCGUUAAUCGGAAUUACUGGGCGUAAAGCGUGCGCAGGCGGUUUGCUAAGACCGAUGUGAAAUCCCCGGGCUCAACCUGGGAACUGCAUUGGUGACUGGCAGGCUAGAGUAUGGCAGAGGGGGGUAGAAUUCCACGUGUAGCAGUGAAAUGCGUAGAGAUGUGGAGGAAUACCGAUGGCGAAGGCAGCCCCCUGGGCCAAUACUGACGCUCAUGCACGAAAGCGUGGGGAGCAAACAGGAUUAGAUACCCUGGUAGUCCACGCCCUAAACGAUGUCAACUAGUUGUUGGGGAUUCAUUUCCUUAGUAACGUAGCUAACGCGUGAAGUUGACCGCCUGGGGAGUACGGUCGCAAGAUUAAAACUCAAAG